UUGGUGAAGGAGCUGAAAUCAAAAGAAAUGCUGGAGAAACUCUACGUUUGACAGCAUUUCCGAACAGAGGAAAAAAAAAGUUAAUAUUUUGCGUCCGAUGUAAUUGUUCUUCAGAACGGGGUGGGGGCCUGGAAAAUAGUUCUUUUUUUGUAAAUGUCGUUGAUUAGAGAGGAAGGAAGAACGAGUGGAACAAAUGCAGUGCCAACAAAUACAUCAUACUGAUUUUCUUUAAGACAAUACCUCUGGUGCUGUGUUAUUGAUGGUUUCCAGGGAAAUGAGCAGAGGCUUUGUAAGCCUUUGGCAUCAUUACCACGUUGCUGUCACUCACAAAGAAGUCUGACUUCCGUUAUAUCUCAGGCGCAACAGGAUUUGCUGAACUAGUCAUUUACCAUAAGAAAUAUCACUUCAAGACAACUCAUUUCAGCAUCAGCAGCCACAGACUGACCUAUGAUCAAAACAGAAAAAAUAUUGAUGCACAGAAGACACAUUUUGGUGAUAGAAUUCCAAAGAUUUUACUCUGCGAAUGGUAUUUCCCUAGACAUUGUUGACAGUGCAAUUAGACACUCUCAAUCAAUAAGACAUUCAACACAAUAAGCAGAACAUUCAACUAAAAUGAAGCAUGUAACGGGGCAGUCUUUUUGUUGUUUUGGUUGAUGUCAGACUGAAAUAUGUGAAAAACCAUUCUAACCAAUAUUAAUGAGAUGUGAAUCAGCAUUGGCGUGAUUACUUAAUUUCAAGCAGGAAAUGAGAUGUGCAUUCAUGUUUGCUGUUUAAAAUGGGUGAAUAUAGCUUUGUAGUUUCUAAGAUGACAUCAUUUAGCAACCAAAAAGGAAGUAACCUCACAACUUCCAGCAUGAGCUUUUAGUUUGUGAUAGAUGAAAUUGUUGUUAUUUUUGUUCAAGUCAUUAUUUUGGGCGGUCUUUGUAUUAAAAGUUUGGCAGCAAAGUUAAUCACUACUACAAUUAAAAUGUUAACUGUUUUCUUUGUCUAAUAUAUCCAUAAAGAAGCUGGAUUAAAGAAUGAAUGAAUCUGAAGUAGUUUGACCACAUCAUAUACAGACUUUUUUGACCUAAGAGAAAAAGUCUCUGAAAAAUAAAAUCUAGUAUCUGUGGAAAAAAUCCAGCAGGAAUUGCCUGAAGCAGGGAACUUUCACCUUUAAAGAAAAAGACUGAAAUAAAUAUUUGAAGCAAAGAGAUGAUUCAGAUGCAAUGGGACAAAUAACAUCCUUCUGCUCUGUAAGCUUCUAUAGAACUAUGGUCUUGUUCUUUCAACUGCUGUGAGUUCUUUAUGGAAAGAAAUCUGCUGUCUCUACAUGAUUCAACCCAUUACAACUGACUUCCUCUGCCAAUAUUAUUAAUUCUCAAGAGUCUUUGGAAUCGAUGUAGCACUCAGUUGAUUCAAAACCAGGACUUUGAGAAGAAGUGUCCAUCACCUCAUCAGGGCAACCCAGGAUGGGCAAUUCAGGUUUUCCAGUGAGCAAUCAUCUGGAAUUUUUUAAAAAUAAUACAUGUCAGAAAAUGUUCAAGGCUUCUUUUUAUGAAGAAGUGUUAUGAUGAUGGAUCAGAAGCUCUAAGUAUUUGUGUGCAUUUUUAUUUUUAAUUCCAAUAUGUGUUGUUUUUUUUAAAGGACUGCUGUGAAAAAAACUAUGAAUUUAAAUUCAUUGAUUGUUUGGCAAAGUCCUGUGUGACUCAAGUGAAAUGUUGCACAUGUAAAUUGCCAUAGAAACUUCAAACAUGAGAGAUUUAACAAAAGGAAAUAAUAAGGCUGUUUGACUACCUCUCUCCUCUCAACAGAAUAUCAAGUCUUGCAGACAUGUCUGUUUUACUCUCCAGGAAUACAGAAGAAAAGGGGUUUAAAAGUCUGUUUCAACUCUACUGGAGUUGACUAAUAAUAGUGAAUACUGUUGUAUGUAUCAGCCUGGGUUUGAGUGUUAAUAUGUUGUGCUGGUCACAGUCAUGGAACUAUCCCUUAGU